UUUUUUAUAUCAAUGAAAACCAAAAUAGUAAAUGGUAUCAUUUGCUUUUGAGCAGGAACAAAUAUUUCUCAGGCAAAAGAUCAAUAGAUUAGAGUAGGAACCAUACAUUUAAUAUAUGGUUCGCUUACAAUCAUUUAUGUUAGUUAAUCUCCUAAUCAAAUCUUCAUACCAAUUUACUAAAUCACCUCAAAUGUAGAAAGUAACACUAGCUGCAACUAUUAUUUAGGAAGAAGCUCUUUCGGUUAAAACAGUAAUUAAGUAUUUUCAAACGAGGAAACCAUGUUACUAUGAGUGGUGGUGGAACAUGUACUCUGCUGGAGCCGAUAGCCUUCUGUGCAGUGGCCUCUUUUGGAUACAUUUUAGUGCGGUCUAUAGGGGUUUAUUACCUGGUUCUCUUUUUGGUGUAGACUUAGUUAAUCGUUCCUUGUGAUGGGUAUUUGGUGGUGUGGUAGGGGUUUUCUUUUCUUGUCUAUUGUUUUAGGUUGGCCAUUCGGAGCCAACUUUGUGGGUGCUAUUGCUCUAUGGAGUAUUUUUAAAAUGAACUUUAAUUUUUAUAUAUUUAAUUUAAAAAUAUUAGUUUUGAACAAAUUAGGGAUUUUUGUCACAGUAGAACAAGGAUAAAAGAGGUAAACAUAUACAGAAGCAACUUGAUGUUUUUAGAGAUCACGAUCUUUAAUCUUCUUUCACAAUACCUGCAACACUAAAAUCCAACACCAACACUAACACAAUUUUAAAUCAGUACCCUACGACCUAACUUGAGAAAUCCAUCAUCAUCGCUUUGGUCGCUGUAAAAACAUCUCGUCGCUUCUAUGAUUUAAAGUUUGCGGCCGCUGAAUACCUCGUUUUGAUCUUCAUCGUUCGGUGGUUGAAAGUGGCAAGGUCAAAUUUCAUAGGUUUCUCGUGUCAUGUCAUUUGAGUGAGAGGAAUAUCAAGCAUAGAAGUAGAAUAAAUAAUUAAUCUUCAUAAUAAUUUUUUUUAUUAAAGUAGUUAUAAUUAUACAAGAAUACGAGAGAAACAUAAAUCAUUAUGUAUAUAAAAAAAUGAGAAUUAUUAAUCAAACUUUGAGGUGAAUUAUAAAAAUACAAAUACUAUGACGUACAAAUGAAAUUAUAUAAAUUUGAUAAUAAACGGCUCACACUGGCCAUCAAUGCACCUCAUAUAACAGGCGGGACAACCACCUUGACAAUCAGUGUAACUAACACAUUCGGCAAUUUUAACUGCAAUGUCAGAUAGCAAAAAGAAUGUUACUAAAAAUGAUAAAAUUUUAUUAAUAUGAAAAUGGUGUAAAAAACGACAUACCAGCAUUUCGAGGUGUGUAACGUGGCUUAUCACCAUUUGUUACAACAAGAAAUAAAGACAGAAAUAUGAUCAAAACAUAAACACAAAAUUGAAUUUUAGUCGUAUG
rnacentral:lncRNA from 1 species